GGCCAUUGGUGUCGCUAGUGUCGCGCCACGACUGCGACUGUUGUCGGUGCCGUAGGGAAGCCGUGAAGCGAGCCACCUGGGAAGUACGGCCGCAAGGCUGAAACUUAAAGGAAUUGGCGGGGGAGCACCACAACGGGUGGAGCUUGCGGUUUAAUUGGAUUCAACGCCGGAAAUCUUACCGGGACCGACAGCAAUAUGAAGGCCAGGCUGAAGACUUUGCCGGAUUAGCUGAGAGGUGGUGCAUGGCAA
rnacentral:rRNA from 1 species